rnacentral:rRNA from 1 species
UGAGGAAUAUUGGACAAUGGACGCAAGUCUGAUCCAGCCAUGCCGCGUGCAGGAUGACGGUCUUAUGGAUUGUAAACUGCUUUUAUACGGGAAGAAAAGAUGUUACGAGUAACAUAAUUGCCGGUACCGUAAGAAUAAGGAUCGGCUAACUCCGUGCCAGCAGCCGCGGUAAUACGGAGGAUCCGAGCGUUAUCCGGAAUCAUUGGGUUUAAAGGGUCCGUAGGCGGUUAGGUAAGUCAGCGGUGAAAUCUCAUAGCUUAACUAUGAAAUUGCCGUUGAUACUGUUUGACUUGAAUAAUUAGGAAGUAAUUAGAAUAUGUAGUGUAGCGGUGAAAUGCAUAGAUAUUACAUGGAAUACCGAUUGCGAAAGCAGGUUACUACUAAUUUAUUGACGCUGAUG